GGAUUCCGGAUAACGCUCCUUGGAUUCCGGAUAACGCUCCUUGGAUUCCUCUCUUUGGAUUCCGGAUUCCGCUCCUUGGAUUCCAGAGAAUUGGCCCAGGAUAAGGAUUCUGGCUUCCUCCGAUGUCUGGAUUCCGGAUUGCAAAGCUAUUAAAAGUCGGACUCCUGGAUUACCUUACAUGUGGCGAGAAUUCUUGAUGAAUGCGCACGUUCACUGCGUGAAUCAUCAAAAUUGCGACUAGCAAUUAGCAAUAUAAAUAUUGCGACUACCAUAUAAAUAUCGAAGAGAAUACCAACCAUAGAUGGCGACGACAACCCCCUAGUUUGGUGAAAGUACCAUGCUCGAAGAUUUCAAAUACUUAGUAAACUGGCCCGAAAGUAUUUGGUUAUGUGUGCCAGUAGUUCGCCGACUCUUUAGUAAAGCAGGUCAAAUGGUAAGCUGACAGAGAGCAUAAAUAAAACUGACCAAGCAAAUAUGCUUAUAUUGUUGGCUGAGAACUUAUUGGUAAACCAUCUUGUAAUGUACCCA